AUACGAAGGGGGCUAGCGUUGUUCGGAAUUACUGGGCGUAAAGCGCGCGUAGGCGGAUUGGUCAGUUAGGGGUGAAAUCCCAGGGCUUAACCCUGGAACUGCCUCUAAUACUGCCAGUCUUGAGUUCGGGAGAGGUGAGUGGAAUUCCUAGUGUAGAGGUGAAAUUCGUAGAUAUUAGGAAGAACACCAGUGGCGAAGGCGGCUCACUGGCCCGAUACUGACGCUGAGGCGCGAAAGCGAGGGGAGCAAACAGGAUUAGAAACCCUAGUAGUCC
rnacentral:rRNA from 1 species